AGCAGCAGCCAUAUCGCCCUGCAACUCACAACUGGCAACCCACUGAAGCUCAGCAGGUGUGAGCCUGGUCAGUACCUGGAUGUGAGACCUCCUGGGAAAAACUUAGGUCCCUGCUGUAA
rnacentral:rRNA from 1 species